rnacentral:rRNA from 1 species
CUCGUAGGCGGUUCGUCGCGUCCGGUGUGAAAGUCCAUCGCUUAACGGUGGAUCUGCGCCGGGUACGGGCGGGCUUGAGUGCGGUAGGGGAGACUGGAAUUCCCGGUGUAACGGUGGAAUGUGUAGAUAUCGGGAAGAACACCAAUGGCGAAGACAGGUCUCUGGGCCGUCACUGACGCUGAGGAGCGAAAGCGUGGGGAGCGAACA